GCGGCGGCGGUCGGCGGUCUUGGCCGCGAGCGCCUCAAGCGCGCGCGCCUGGGUCGCCUCGAUCGCGUCGAGGCCGGCGCC
rnacentral:tRNA from 1 species